rnacentral:tmRNA from 1 species
AAAGGGUUCGACUUAGGAUAAUUGUAUAAUAGCAGCAUGUCGAGGUGGUCGGGAGGCCUCGUCCCGUAAGGGGCCCUGAGCUUUAUCGAAGGGUAAAACACCUGGCAAAACAAUAAACGCUGAAACUAAAAUUCCAGCUAGCGUAGAUGCACUUCUUGCGAAAAUCGGAUCAGGUAUUUCGCAUCCGUCCUUCACAGGAUUUGUACCUGCACCCGCGUUGCUUUUGAGAUAAAGCAACCCGUUUUACAGUUUGUGCCUGUGGGAUUGUAAAACGUCAUUAACAGGAUCGCCGUACCUGGUUUGCUUUUGACAGAUACGGUCAAAAGUUCAAAAGCUGCCUUUUUUAAUACCCUGUCUAGCGGGGAUUAAAAAAGAAAGCUUCAUAGAUAGACUAAACAUGUAGAUACUAUUAUUAGUUACUUAAGGACGCGGGUUCGAUCA